AGGAAACUACAACUCAGGCAGGAAACCAAGAUGAAGACCCACUAGAAGAUCCAAAUCUUCAUUUGAAUAUUGAGGAAUUAAACCAAGAGUUUAUGGUGAAAAGUGAAGAACUCUACGAUGCCCUCAUGAAUUGUCACUGGCAGCCUCUGGAUACAGUUCACUGUAACAUCCCAAGGGAGACCCCAAAGUGAAGUAAGGUGUUCAUGAAGCUCCCCAACUAUCAUAUUAAUUGUAUCCUGUUUUGUUAUGGGGGAAAAAAAUUUCUCCAAGGAAUUUACUGGGUUCUGUAUGUAAAUACAAACUUGAGGGAUUUAAAUGUGAUUCACAUGACAGAACAUAAUGUAAAUAAACUUUACCAGCAUA